UACGGAGGGUGCAAGCGUUGUCCGGAUUUAUUGGGUUUAAAGGGUGCGUAGGCGGUUUAUUAAGUCAGUGGUGAAAGACGGUCGCUCAACGAUUGUAGUGCCAUUGAUACUGAUAGACUUGAGUGGGAUUGAGGUAGCUGGAAUGGAUAGUGUAGCGGUGAAAUGCAUAGAUAUUAUCCAGAACACCAAUUGCGUAGGCAAGUUACUAAGUCUCAACUGACGCUGAGGCACGAAAGUGUGGGUAUCAAACAGG
rnacentral:rRNA from 1 species